GCCUAAUACAUGCAAGUCGAGCGAAUGGAUUAAGAGCUUGCUCUUAUGAAGUUAGCGGCGGACGGGUGAGUAACACGUGGGUAACCUGCCCAUAAGACUGGGAUAACUCCGGGAAACCGGGGCUAAUACCGGAUAACAUUUUGAACCUGCAUGGUUCGAAAUUGAAAGGCGGCUUCGGCUGUCACUUAUGGAUGGACCCGCGUCGCAUUAGCUAGUUGGUGAGGUAACGGCUCACCAAGGCAACGAUGCGUAGCCGACCUGAGAGGGUGAUCGGCCACACUGGGACUGAGACACGGCCCAGACUCCUACGGGAGGCAGCAGUAGGGAAUCUUCCGCAAUGGACGAAAGUCUGACGGAGCAACGCCGCGUGAGUGAUGAAGGCUUUCGGGUCGUAAAACUCUGUUGUUAGGGAAGAACAAGUGCUAGUUGAAUAAGCUGGCACCUUGACGGUACCUAACCAGAAAGCCACGGCUAACUACGUGCCAGCAGCCGCGGUAAUACGUAGGUGGCAAGCGUUAUCCGGAAUUAUUGGGCGUAAAGCGCGCGCAGGUGGUUUCUUAAGUCUGAUGUGAAAGCCCACGGCUCAACCGUGGAGGGUCAUUGGAAACUGGGAGACUUGAGUGCAGAAGAGGAAAGUGGAAUUCC
rnacentral:rRNA from 1 species